rfam:Dipodomys ordii contig_46156, whole genome shotgun sequence.
AAGGUUGCUCAGUGGUAGAGUGCUUGCCUUGCAUGCAGGAGGCCCUGAGUUUGAUUGCUCAGCACCUUA